CAAUAGCCUAACGGCUGAACCAGCAACUUGGAAGAAUGUAUAGCGAAAGCUAGCUGUAUUAACUAAUAGUUAGUAUAGUAUCGACUAUGUCGACUAAAAUUCGGGGUAGAGUAAUGAUAAUGACAUAUUCUGCUCAUAAGUCUUGACCAAAUCACGUGCCAGCAGUCGCGGCAAUACGUGGAAGACUAGUGUUAUUCAUCUUAAAUAGGUUUAAAGGGUACCUAGACGGUAAAUUUAGCCCCCAAAGGGUACAGAUAUACUAGAGUUUGAUGAGAGGGGGGUAGUACUGACGGAGGAGAGAUGAAAUUUUUUGAUACCGAUAUAAGAGACAGGUAUAGGCGAAAGCAACCCUUUAUGUAAAAA
rnacentral:rRNA from 1 species